rnacentral:rRNA from 1 species
GACGAACGCUGGCGGCGUGCUUAACACAUGCAAGUCGAGCGGUAAGGCCCUUUCGGGGGGUACACGAGCGGCGAACGGGUGAGUAACACGUGGGUGACCUGCCCUCAGCUCUGGGAUAAGCCCGGGAAACUGGGUCUAAUACUGGAUAUGACUCCAUGACGCAUGUUGUGGGGUGGAAAGCCUUGUGCGGCUGGGGAUGGGCCCGCGGCCUAUCAGCUUGUUGGUGGGGUGAUGGCCUACCAAGGCGACGACGGGUAGCCGGCCUGGGAGGGCGACCGGCCACACUGGGACUGAGACACGGCCCAGACUCCGUACGGGAGGCAGCAGGUGGGGAAUCUUGCGCAAUGGGCGAAAGCCUGACGCAGCGACGCCGCGUGAGGGAUGACGG